CGUGUUAGCCAGGAUGGUCUCGAUCUCCUGACCUCGUGAUCCGCCCGCCUCGGCCUGAUGUGUUGGUUUUAUAAGGGGGAGUUUCUCUGCACAAGCUGUCUCUCUUUGCCUGCCGCCAUCCGCGUAGUAAACGUGACUUGAUCCUCCUUGCCUUCCGCCAUGAUUUUAAGGCCUCCCCAGCCACAUGGAACACUCCUCUUGACUUUAGACUUCAUGACUCUUCUAGAUGUUAGUCUUCAAGCUGAAGAAGCAUUGGUGAGGAAGCAAGUGGAAAAUUGGCUGGAGUUGUCAAAUACCAAGGCAGGUGCAGAAAACUGAGCCCUGGAACAUCAAAUAUUAGGGCAACAGAGGAAACUUGAAAUCUGUAAGUGUCAUAAAAAUUGCAAGUACUGUUGACUCAGAUGUACUGAGAGGUUCACAUUAUCACUGCCAACUCUGCUACGUUGCCUACAAAGGAAUCCACACACCAACACUGGUCAGAAGACUUUCACUGGAGAUAUCCCUCCCUAUGCCUGGAAGAAAGGAAUAUUCUUAUCUCUGAAGACAUUGGGAAACACAAUAAUAGCUGAAAAACAGGCCUUGCUAACUUCUCUCCAGUUUAUUAUUAGAUGAUACAUUUUUAUCCAAUCAUAUUUCUCCAUCACUACCCACUUCUCCAUCAGAACUAGCCUUAAAAUGCAUAGGUUUACAUAUUUUUUAGUCUUCAUUUCCACAGUUCCCUUGUCACACUAAAACUAUAUUAAGUAAAUUUAUAUGUUUUUCUCUUGUCCAUUUGUCUUUUGUUAUAGGGGCUCAACCAUAAACCUGUAGAAAUUGCAAUUUUUGUUAUUGGUCAUGAGAGUGUGCUGUCUUUUAUUUAUUUAUUUA
rnacentral:lncRNA from 1 species